GCAGGAUGAACGCUGGCGGCGUGCCUAAUACAUGCAAGUCGAGCGAACAGACAAGGAGCUUGCUCCUUUGACGUUAGCGGCGGACGGGUGAGUAACACGUGGGUAACCUACCUAUAAGACUGGGAUAACUUCGGGAAACCGGAGCUAAUACCGGAUAAUAUUUCGAACCGCAUGGUUCGAUAGUGAAAGAUGGUUUUGCUAUCACUUAUAGAUGGACCCGCGCCGUAUUAGCUAGUUGGUAAGGUAACGGCUUACCAAGGCGACGAUACGUAGCCGACCUGAGAGGGUGAUCGGCCACACUGGAACUGAGACACGGUCCAGACUCCUACGGGAGGCAGCAGUAGGGAAUCUUCCGCAAUGGGCGAAAGCCUGACGGAGCAACGCCGCGUGAGUGAUGAAGGUCUUCGGAUCGUAAAACUCUGUUAUUAGGGAAGAACAUACGUGUAAGUAACUAUGCACGUCUUGACGGUACCUAAUCAGAAAGCCACGGCUAACUACGUGCCAGCAGCCGCGGUAAUACGUAGGUGGCAAGCGUUAUCCGGAAUUAUUGGGCGUAAAGCGCGCGUAGGCGGUUUUUUAAGUCUGAUGUGAAAGCCCACGGCUCAACCGUGGAGGGUCAUUGGAAACUGGAAAACUUGAGUGCAGAAGAGGAAAGUGGAAUUCCAUGUGUAGCGGUGAAAUGCGCAGAGAUAUGGAGGAACACCAGUGGCGAAGGGCGACUUUCUGGUCUGUAACUGACGCUGAUGUGCGAAAGCGUGGGGAUCAAACAGGAUUAGAUACCCUGGUAGUCCACGCCGUAAACGAUGAGUGCUAAGUGUUAGGGGGUUUCCGCCCCUUAGUGCUGCAGCUAACGCAUAAGCACUCCGCUGGGAGAACCACGUUGG
rnacentral:rRNA from 1 species